GGCGGAGACGGAGCCCUUCCCGGAGGGGAGGGGAGUACCGUCUUAGCUGGGGGAACCAGGCCAGGCCCGGAAGGGAGCAACCUAACUCCAGACGCCAGCGUUCAUGGGUCACCGGGGGGAGCCGGCGUGAGAUGGCUCUGGUACACUGCUUUAUAGGGAGCACAGAGCUCUGCCCGCGG
rnacentral:SRP_RNA from 1 species